GCGAUAAUAGCAAAGGAUUGGAGAAAAUAAAAGGGAAGGGAUUGCUGUGGCGAGGCCUAACAUCGAAGUAGGGUCGGGGUGAUGCUGAGGUUGCCUCCACUUUGAAAGGCAGAUGUGAGCCCAGUGGGAGUCACGACCACUGCAUCACCAGGUCAAAAGCUUAAUGCACACAGAGCUGUGGAGCUGCCCCUCCACAGCCCGGGGAAUGACCAGUUUGCUGUGUGUAAGGCCACCCCCUUCUCCAAUGAUGCCAGCUGUUUCUUAUAAAGUUCAUUUAUAUAUCAGUGUGGAUCCGCCACAUGACCCAAUGAAUCUACUGCCAGCAGCCCCGCGCGAGGUCCCGUGUACAUGCCAAGUCCGAGCAGUUUUGAUGACACAAGGAGGACUCGCACGAUAUCAGGC